rnacentral:rRNA from 1 species
UACAGAGGUCUCAAGCGUUGUUCGGAUUCAUUGGGAGUAAAGGGUGUGUAGGUGGCGCCGUAAGUCGGGUGUGAAAUUUCGGAGCUUAACUCCGAAACUGCAUUCGAUACUGCGGUGCUUGAGGACUGGAGAGGAGACUGGAAUUCAUGGUGUAGCAGUGAAAUGCGUAGAGAUCAUGAGGAAGACCAGUGGCGAAGGCGGGUCUCUGGACAGUUCCUGACACUGAGACACGAAGGCCAGGGGAGCAAACGGG